rnacentral:rRNA from 1 species
AAAUUGAAGAGUUUGAUCAUGGCUCAGAUUGAACGCUGGCGGCAGGCCUAACACAUGCAAGUCGAACGGUAGCACAGAGAGCUUGCUCUCGGGUGACGAGUGGCGGACGGGUGAGUAAUGUCUGGGAAACUGCCUGAUGGAGGGGGAUAACUACUGGAAACGGUGGCUAAUACCGCAUAACGUCGCAAGACCAAAGAGGGGGACCUUCGGGCCUCUUGCCAUCAGAUGUGCCCAGAUGGGAUUAGCUAGUUGGUGAGGUAACGGCUCACCAAGGCGACGAUCCCUAGCUGGUCUGAGAGGAUGACCAGCCACACUGGAACUGAGACACGGUCCAGACUCCUACGGGAGGCAGCAGUGGGGAAUAUUGCACAAUGGGCGCAAGCCUGAUGCAGCCAUGCCGCGUGUAUGAAGAAGGCCUUCGGGUUGUAAAGUACUUUCAGCGGGGAGGAAGGUGUUGUGGUUAAUAACCA